UUCAGCGCCGCCUUUUUUUUUCUUCCAGCGCCGCCUCCUCUCAUCCCUAACGCCGCCCCUGCUCCUAAGCUUGCAGCCCCAAUCGGCGGACCUCUCCAUCCACGAGAGCUGCUGCCAGCACCGGUUGCUCAUUAGAGUAGAGGGAGGAUCGGCUGCUCCCUGGUGGUGCUCUGCGGGACGCAGGGGGCAAGGAGGCAAUUAAGAGGGAAGCAGAGAAAGGGGAGGGCAGGAGAAGAUGCAAUGGGUGUUGGCCUGGAGUUUAUUCAACAGGAAGAUCGAGUUUAGUUAUGUUGUAUGAAUUAGGCUGAUUUCUUCGACGAAUUUCUGGAAUUAAUUGGCAAGGAAUCUCAAGUCGUCCCUAUAACGAAAGUUGUAUGUUUCGUCGAUAUCUUUCCAAUGGCGCUAGUUUCGUUCAAUUUGGAUUAGCAGUUUAGGAGAUAUCAAUGAAACUGUGCUGCUGUUCAUUUAGAAAAUCUGUGCGCAGAAACUGUUUUUAUAGUUUCGACUUAUUUAGAGGCCGAAUUUCCCCUGGGCGCUGUAACGACAGUUGUAGGAAAUUUUCUGUAGAUGUUCAAGAUGUAUUUAUUUACUGCAUUUGGUUAAUAGAAUCAAAAGUUAUGGGCUAAA